UACAGGGGGUGCAAACGUUGCUCGGAAUUAUUGGGCGUAAAGCGCGCGUAGGCGGCUACUUAAGUCGGAUGUGAAAGCCCCUGGCUCAACUGGGGAAGUGCACCCGAAACUGAGUGGCUUGAGUACGAAAGAGGGUCGCGGAAUUCCCGGUGUAGAGGUGAAAUUCGUAGAUAUCGGGAGGAACACCGGUGGCGAAGGCGGCGACCUGGGUCGAUACUGACGCUGAUGCGCGAAAGCGUGGGGAGCAAACAGG
rnacentral:rRNA from 1 species